GUGAAUUUAGAGCGUAACUUCGGUUAGCUCAACCUUCAUUUUCCAACUCUGUGCACUAUUGGCGGACUGGGAGCAAGUAAUUGCUAUUCAGUCUGCGGCUCACUAUUAAACAUUAGUUAAAGUAUGUAUAUAAAAACAAAACAAA
rnacentral:misc_RNA from 1 species